rnacentral:lncRNA from 1 species
UUGAAAAGAAAAAACCAGGAGAUAAUUAUUGAGUAUAUAAAAGUGAAAAUUACUGGAAGUUCAAAAAUACAAGGAAGAGGAAAAUGUAAAUAAAUAAAAACGUUGCGAUGUGUUUGACAGCUAAAGAAUUAAAAUCCUUAAUAUAUUUAAAAGUUCAACAAAUCUAUUAAGAAAAUUAGUACAUAUAUCAAGAUAAAAUAUAUACAUUAAGUAAUAAAUAUAAGCAAAAGGAAGUUCCAUUUUUCAAUUAUGAAAAUUGCAAAAAAUAAUGAAAUUUAUAAUACUGAAGAGCAUUCAAGGAAACUGAUGCUAUUGAUGGAAAUGUGUAUCUAGUUUUUUGGCAGGCAAUGUGAAAAUAUGUACCAAAGUAUUAAAAACAUCCAUGAAAUGGACCUUAAAAACAUAUGUCUGAUGGUUCAACAUCUAAAAACUUUUAAUACAUAUCAGAAAUAAUUCAACUCAGCAUUAUAUUUUUAAGUAUUAAACUGAUGA